rnacentral:rRNA from 1 species
GACGAACGCUGGCGGCGUGCUUAACACAUGCAAGUCGAACGGAAAGGCCCUGCUUUUGUGGGGUGCUCGAGUGGCGAACGGGUGAGUAACACGUGAGUAACCUGCCCUUGACUUUGGGAUAACUUCAGGAAACUGGGGCUAAUACCGGAUAGGAGCUCCUGCUGCAUGGUGGGGGUUGGAAAGUUUCGGCGGUUGGGGAUGGACUCGCGGCUUAUCCGCUUGUUGGUGGGGUAGUGGCUUACCAAGGCUUUGACGGGUAGCCGGCCUGAGAGGUUGACCGGCCACAUUGGGACUGAGGGACGGCCCAGACGCCUACGGGAGGCAGCAGGGGGGAAUAUUGCACAAUGGGCGGAAGCCUGAGGCAGCAACGCCGCGUGCGUGAUGACGUCCUUCGGGUUGUAAACCGCUUUCGCCGGUGACGAAGCGUGAGUGACGGUAAUGGGUAAAGAAGCACCGGCUAACUACGUG